rnacentral:rRNA from 1 species
AGUGGACGCUGGCGGUAGGCCUAACACAUGCAAGUCGAACGGCAGCACAGUAAGAGCUUGCUCUUACGGGUGGCGAGUGGCGGACGGGUGAGGAAUACAUCGGAAUCUACUUUUUCGUGGGGGAUAACGUAGGGAAACUUACGCUAAUACCGCAUACGACCUACGGGUGAAAGCAGGGGAUCUUCGGACCUUGCGCGAUUGAAUGAGCCGAUGUCGGAUUAGCUAGUUGGCGGGGUAAAGGCCCACCAAGGCGACGAUCCGUAGCUGGUCUGAGAGGAUGAUCAGCCACACUGGAACUGAGACACGGUCCAGACUCCUACGGGAGGCAGCAGUGGGGAAUAUUGGACAAUGGGCGCAAGCCUGAUCCAGCCAUACCGCGUGGGUGAAGAAGGCCUUCGGGUUGUAAAGCCCUUUUGUUGGGAAAGAAAAGCAGCAGGUUAAUACCCCGCUGUUCUGACGGUACCCAAAGAAUAGGCACCGGCUAACUUCGUG